GACACGAUUCUACAUGAAGUGAAAUUGAGUCUUUAUAAUUUAUGAGCUUGUAUAAAGUAUAAAAAAAAUCGCAGAUUUAAUUUGAUCGCUGUAUUUUAUAGAGUAUCUUACCGAACUUCUGAGAGCGUAAGGUCAGACAGUGUAGUGCGUCUUGAAAACCCAGAUCUAAAAGGACUAAACAAUAACUAACAACGGUCUACAAGAGAUAGGUUAGAGCUUCUUAACAAAGUAAUAUGAAAUGAAAGUUGUUGAUGCUUUUUCCAUAAUAUGUACGUUGUCAGGGGCUGGAGUUCUGGGUCUGGCUUGCUUUAAUUUACUAUCACGCAUUCAGGAGAAAUCUGAAAGUGAACCAUUAAGGAAGUUUAUUUUGAAAACUGGAAUAUUUGCACUUGUGUGUGUCAUUAUCAGCACCUGUGUCUAUUAUGUCAGUAUUCAUCAAAGGUUUCUCAACUUUAAUCACCUAGACGUGAGCAAAUCUAUCGGCUUCUCCUUCAUCCUGAGUGCUGUUGGUGGGGUCCUCAUCGGCGUAGGCAGUGUUAUUUUCUACGUGUCAUGCUUGAGGCAUCCUAGUCCUUAGACUAGAGGACUAUGGGUGGAGCACAACUUAUCACUUAACUUACAUUUAUUUUCUUUAUGUUGAUAUACCCACCAUGUCAUUAUCUUAUGGCUUUGAUUUAAUAUCACAAAUUUUGUUUUUCGUAUUACUAUGUUAAUAAAUAAUUCGUCUUUUUAAAGCACCAAGAAAACGGAGCACUUCAUCAAUUAUGUGUUCAACAAAGACUGCUAAAGAUGUAAAGGCUUUGAUUUGUUGUUUUCACAAUCUCUACCAUUUAUACCACUAAAGAGAGGUUCUCAAACUUUUUUGACCCUUUUAUACCGUCAAAACGUGGCCACGGACAUUUAAAUGAAAAAACUACAUGAAUGCAUAUUAUAUAAGUAAAAAAAAAUUGUUGAUAAUUGUUUAUUUAGAUAAAAACUUAUGUUUAAAAUAAAAUUUUAAAAUAUGA